GAUUCCUACGGGAGGCAGCAGUAAGGAAUAUUGGUCAAUGGAGGGAACUCUGAACCAGCCAUGCCGCGUGCAGGAAGACGGCCCUACGGGUUGUAAACUGCUUUUGCACGGGAAUAAACCUCGGUACGUGUACCGAGUUGAAUGUACCUUGAGAAUAAGGAUCGGCUAACUCCGUGCCAGCAGCCGCGGUAAUACGGAGGAUCCGAGCGUUAUCCGGAUUUAUUGGGUUUAAAGGGUGCGUAGGCGGCCUGUUAAGUCAGGGGUGAAAGACGGUAGCUCAACUAUCGCAGUGCCCUUGAUACUGAUGGGCUUGAAUGUACUAGAGGUAGGCGGAAUGUGACAAGUAGCGGUGAAAUGCAUAGAUAUGUCACAGAACACCAAUUGCGAAGGCAGCUUACUAUGGUAUGAUUGACGCUGAGGCACGAAAGCGUGGGGAUCAAACAGGAUUAGAUACCCUGGUAGUCCACGCCCUAAACGAUGAACACUCGAUGUUGGCGAUAUACGGUCAGCGUCUAAGCGAAAGCGUUAAGUGUUCCACCUGGGGAGUACGCCCGCAAGGGUGAAACUCAAAGGAAUUGACGGGG
rnacentral:rRNA from 1 species